CCAAGAAUGCUCUUAAAGGGGCAGGCGGACCGCGCCUCGUCGCUGUGGCAACGCGCGGCGGCGGCAGGCCCGAUGCAGGCCUGAGUCAGGCCUAAGGGUGGGCCCCAACAGCACGCGGGGGAAACCCACACAGAGGGGGUGCAGGGAGUUCCGACCUGCCCCAUGGGGUGAAGGGGGAGAGCACCGAAGUGGGGGACUCAGGGAAACACAGUGCAUCGGAUGCAAUCUGCAUUGUAACACAGCUUUGGUUUCAGUCUUGUGCUUCCGAAAAAGCAUUAAAUCUCCAGACCUCAGGGGCUGGAAUUGCCAGGAGCUGGAAUUGCGCAUAUAUUUAUGUGGAGUAAAUCAAUAUUUAGAUCUAAUUUUGUGCUUAUGGCUUGUGAGGCCCUGUUUAUGGCAGCCUGGCACCCUCACUGCACAGAAGGGCUUUUCCAUCCGGGUCGGAGGGCUCCAAGCUUCAGCACCCGGACUGACCACAUUCUGAUACACCUGCAGUGAUGUGAAGAUAACAUCGGUUAAACGCCUGCUUAUUUCUGCUUGGCGAGAACAAUAUAAGCCACUUAACUACACAUCCAAGAUAGACCGAUCCAAAUGUGCUGAAAUUUUCAAGGAGAAAGCGUGGUGGUAUUGUUUGUUUCUGGGAAGAAAAGCGAGCAGAUGAAAAGCAAACAUACAGCAAUAGCUGGGGGGUCCUGGAAGCUCCUGCAGCAGUUCAAAGGAAAAGGGAACAACAAUGGAAGCAUCGGAUCAAGACAUACUGAAGCUUUGAAGAUUGUAUCAGUUAUGGAUGAAUUAAAGCGUGCAAUAAUUAGCACUGAAAGAUACAACGACACCUGAA